rnacentral:rRNA from 1 species
GACCAGACUCCUACGGGAGGCAGCAGUGGGGAAUAUUGCACAAUGGGGGAAACCCUGAUGCAGCGACGCCGCGUGAGUGAAGAAGUAUUUCGGUAUGUAAAGCUCUAUCAGCAGGGAAGAAAAUGACGGUACCUGAUUAAGAAGCCCCGGCUAACUACGUGCCAGCAGCCGCGGUAAUACGUAGGGGGCAAGCGUUAUCCGGAUUUACUGGGUGUAAAGGGAGCGUAGACGGCAGUGCAAGUCCGGAGUGAAAGCCCGGGGCUCAACCCUGGGACUGCUCUGGAAACUGUAAAGCUGGAGUGCGGGAGGGGCAGGCGGAAUUCCUGGUGUAGCGGUGAAAUGCGUAGAUAUCAGGAGGAACACCGGCGGUGAAGGCGGCCUGCUGGACCGUAACUGACGUUGAGGCUCGAAAGCGUGGGGAGCAAACAGGAUUAGAUACCCCCGUAACG